rnacentral:lncRNA from 1 species
UCUCCAGCUUGGAUCUACUGCUCUCCUCCAGCUCAAGCAAGACUCCACCCCACCCGCACGCCCACGCAACAAUCUCAAAAACCUAAUUUAACCCAUUUCUGUGCAAUUUGAAGAGAUCCCAGAAAUCCCAGUAACCCAAUGGAUCUGCCUCCCGAUGAACUGCAAUUCUUGAGCAUCCAAGACAUCAUUAAAGAAUCAAUUUUCAUUCCUAAACGAUCCCCCAAAACAUUUUACCUCAUAACCUUAACCCUAAUCUUCCCUCUAUCGUUCGCCAUCUUGGCCCACUCGCUCUUCACCCACCCUAUCCUCACUCAGCUUCAGUCCGAGCCAGCUGGGUCCCGUGCCGCCUCCUCCGAAUGGUCCAAGCUCCUUAUUUUCCAGUUCUGCUACCUCAUCUUCCUUUUUGCCUUCUCGCUCCUGUCCACCGCCGCCGUCAAUGAUUAACAUGUUAUUUCGAAUUUAGGCUCAUCAACUUCACUACAAAUGUACUAAAUGUCAAGAAUUAAUUGGAUGAGCAGCACAAUAGGACAUUAGAUCUCGACCCAUAAAGUUAUUGGGUAGAAUGAUUUUUUUUUGCUACAAAAAUAGGCUGUAAUCAUGAGAAGUGGCAAUAAAUAGCAUUUGUCCAGUAAGGUAAAUUAGCACAAGUUAUAUGGAUGUUUUGCCUUGCUCUUUUGUUACAUUCAAACACUGAAAUUACUAUUGGUUGCAAGUUUAUACAUACAUAAGAAAUUAAUGUUCGUCUGUAGAAUUAUAAAGGCACUCUUCAAAUUUCUCAUUAGUCAUCUAUGAUGGCACAACUCUCAUAGCCCUUCAUUCAAUGAGUUUUGUUAUCUAACUCUCAUAGCCCUUUAUUCAUGAAUUUUGUUAUUUGUACCCGAGUGUUACCUGAUGUGAGUGAAGGAGUCAAGGCCGACACAUUUAUUGGCGUGGGGCCCCCCGACCCCAUGUGAGUAGCAGGUAACCCGGAGUAUCAAAUUCUGGAUAUGUGUAGCAAAACUCUUAUUCAAUACUCAUCCUUGUAUAUGACCAAUCGAAGAGGUCCUUUCUUAGUUGAGUUAAAUCUGCACCGCAGCUUAAUAUGUCAUUUUUUGGAGCUUUACUUUACUAAACUAAUAUGGGGUCACUGCCCCCUAUAUAAUUCAAGCUUUUUACUUUUGCAUCUUGCCUUUAGAUUUUAUCGACUUGUAUGCUGAAUCGCUGAUGAGAUCUUUCCCUCGAAUUCUAUGAUUUGAGUAACAAGAUUUUGCUAAAUCAUCCUUUCCCUCCUAUAAUUCCACAACUUCCAUUUGCACCAUCACUCCCUCAAAUUCAUAACAUUCCAAACUUGGAAAUUCCAAACAUCUCCAGUCUACCUUCGAUGCCUACACUACCUAAUUUAACUGUGCUAUUGAAAUAAUGAUUAUAGCAUGAAAUUGUUAAUUAGUUCUUCAACGGUGUACUCUUGGUUAAAUUAAAACUAGGAUGACAGUUACUAUAUUUAUGAAUUUAUUUAUAAUACCUCAUCGAAAAUUGAUUGACAAAAUAAUCUUGAAAUCUUUUUGCCGUUUGAAAUUUAGAUAGAUCGAAUAAUAUUAUUAUUAUCGACAAUGUUGCUUUAACAUUGGUCAAUUUAAUUUAUUACUCUCUUCGUCCAAUUUAUAUAUGCUACAUUUCCUUAUUUUCUCGUUCCAAUUAUAUAGUCUUGUUUCUUUAUUAAGAAUGUUUUGUUUUGUUCGUUUACUAAUAUACUCUUACUUAAUUUGCAUAAUUAUAUUUGGUUUCUCCUAAUUAUUCUUGAAAUUGUAUAAAUAUAAAUAAGGUAAACUAGGAUAUUUUUUGACAAAAAAUAUUUUUUUAAUGACAUUACAUACGAUUUCUUAAUCUCUGUGAAAAACAAAACAAGCUUAUAUAAAUGGGACGGAAGGAGUAUUAAAUUUUAUGAGUUUAGCAUAUACAUCAAGUUUUCUUCACGAAAACGAUACGCGAUAUUAGUUCAGAGUGGGAAAAUACAAACUUUUCUUCUCAUUUAUGAUGAAUCUUACUUUUUCAAGAAAGUGCACAAAAUGAGCAUCUCAAGUCUUAAUUGAAUUUAAAUUUGCCUUAAACGAAAUCUUUAAUUAUCACUGAAAUCUUAUUGGGGACUUAGUUUCAAUUAUUUUAAUUAAUUGUAGAAAUCAGGCAUAUUUCAUCACUUAUAAUUGCUAGAAUUUUCUUCGAUAUACCUACACGACUCAUAAAAUCGUCUUACCUGAAGUAUAAUGAGUAUAACACGCGUUUUAUGUAUCAGUGCAAGUACAAAAUUGACCCUGCAAGACACUUCUGCGGAUAUGGCGGUGGACAGUACACAGAUUCAUCAAAUAGUUAAUUUCACAAAUGGUCCUUGAAGUUUAAGUGAAUUUUCAAAUUCAUCAAUAAAUUUUUUUAUUUUUUUUUGAACAAUUUAAUCACCCAGUUAAAUAAUAUUACAUAAUUCAUCACUCUUUAUGAAAAUCUAGAGACUGUUUGAACCUUUACGUAGAGAAAUGAUCAUUGUCUUCAAAUUACAAAUUUUCAACCUAAAGUACAAUUCUUACGAAAAAAAGCCUUACAUUCAGUCAAAACUUCCAAAAUAACUCCCUUCGGCUCUAACUUUCUUUUUUAAAUCACUAAUAAAAUGUAAAAGGUAGAGACGGGUCUACAAGAGAAGUGCAAUUUGAAUGAAGGAUAUCUUUAAUUGUAGAUAAUUAAAGUAAAUAUUUAAUCACUGCUAUAUAAAAUAUAACAUUAAUUGUAUUCGGAAUCAAUAUUUAUGAAUUAUUGUUUAACUUUAGGGAUUAAGUCUCUAUUUGAGCUCCAUUGAUUCAAAACUCAUUUUUUUUAAACUUAUUUUCAACUACAUAUUCUUAUAAUAAAGUAAUUUAUAUGUAAAUUCAAAACUUUUCUCGUUUUCUAAUCACAAAAUUUUCAAAAAAAUCACUAUUAUAAAAUAUAUUUUUUCAAUAUAAUGAGACUCAAUCAAAGGAUAAAUGAGCCAUGAAGUAACUUUAAUUAUCAAUUUAACAUUUGUUGAACUUAUCAUUUCGGAAUGGAUCGUACCUUUUUGUAUCAAUUCGUAAUUUUUCGUGCCAUUUCGUACAAUUUGUAACAUGUGUGGUGAAAUUUACUCGCCAAAAAUAGUACCCAUCACCUCCACCACCUUCUCUUGCCCUUGACUCUUUCUCCAGCUUGGAUCUAUUGCUCUCCUCCAGCUCAAGCAAGACUCCACCCCACCCGCACGCCCACGCAACAAUCUCAAAAACCUAAUUUAACCCAUUUCUGUGCAAUUUGAAGAGAUCCCAGAAAUCCCAGUAACCCAAUGGAUCUGCCUCCCGAUGAACUGCAAUUCUUGAGCAUCCAAGACAUCAUUAAAGAAUCAAUUUUCAUUCCUAAACGAUCCCCCAAAACCUUU